rnacentral:rRNA from 1 species
CCUACGGGAGGCAGCAGUAGGGAAUCUUUCACAAUCGGCGAAAGCCUGAUGGAGCAACGCCGCGUGCAGGAUGAAGGCCUUCGGGUUGUAAACUGCUUUUAUAAGCGAGAAAUAUGAUGGUAACUUAUGAAUAAGGAUCGGCUAACUACGUGCCAGCAGCCGCGGUCAUACGUAGGAUCCGAGCAUUAUCCGGAGUGACUGGGUGUAAAGAGUUGCGUAGGUGGCAUAAUAAGUAGCUAGUGAAAUCUGGUGGCUCAACCAUUCAGACUAUUAGCUAAACUGUUAAGCUCGAGACCGUUAGGGGUAACUGGAAUUUCUAGUGUAGGAGUGAAAUCCGUAGAUAUUAGAAGGAACACCAAUAGCGUAGGCAGGUUGCUGGGACGGUUCUGACACUAAGGCACGAAAGCGUAGGGAGCAAACGGGAUUAGAUACCCCUGUAGUC